CGGCGUGUUUUACAGCACCCUCUUCAAUUGCUUAGCACCCAUGUCUGACAUUUCACACCUGAGCCCUCCAGCUGCACGGGAGGAAAAAGCUUUUCAGUGGGAUUACAGCUCCUAAAAGGCUGAUUGUCACACACCCCCAGGCUUUGAUCCAGACCUUCCCCAGCCUCUCAGGGGCCAGGCUCCCUCAAGAGCCAUCUCUCCCCUGAUGGGCACCUUGCAGGUGUCGUGUCUCGUGUCACCAACACUCCUGUGCACACGCUGCUGGCUCCCCAGGCGUGGGCUCCAGAAAUCCCAGCAAAAGGCACGACUCCAUAGGCUGAAACAAAUCCAUUUGGGAAUGUGCACCUGGAUUGAACACGAGCUGUGCUGAUCACAGGAGUGACCCGUGCUCCAUCCAUGCAGUAUCUUGGCAGCAUAGCAAAGAGCCCCUGGAUCCCCCUGGAAAAGCAAAAGGAGAGAAAUGAGAAUCCCAGGUGAACGUGGCCAGGAAAAUCCGGAUGCAGCAAAAUCUAAACUGAGACAGGCACCUCUUGGAGUGCUUUACAACCCAUUUGCUCAGCUCAGAGGGGCACGAGCUGCAGCACAGCAAAGAACAGGGAUCUUGAUGUCUCUCUUGGAUCAGAUACAGACAGUAGCCUGUCUGGUUACAGAGAGCACUUUCUUUGAUUAAAAGCUAAUAAAUAUUCAUCCCUUUCCUCUCCUGCCAUCCCUCCCAAAUCCCCAGAGACAAAACUUAGACAAGCAAAACUGGUUCAUUUGUGAUGUAUUCCAGUGCAUUGCUCCAAAACACUUGGAAUCCUUCCAGAUAACAGUGCGUGGCUGCAAGGGCUAUGGAUCACCAAGGAAAGGGCCAAUACCUUGCAUUCACUUCCAACAAGGCUCAGGUCAUAAAGGACAUACUCAUUAUUAAUGGUGGGUGUAGGGAAGCAAAGUAUAAAGCGUACACAGAUCCUUAUCCACAGCUAAUUCCUCAGUAAAUUGGCAGAGAUACAUCACUGCCUGCAGAGCCGGAGACAGAG